UAGGGAAUCUUCCACAAUGGGGCGAAAGCCUGAUGGAGCAACGCCGCGUGUGUGAUGAAGGGUUUCGGCUCGUAAACACUGUUGUAAGAGAAGAAUGACAUUGAGAGUAACUGUUCAAUGUGUGACGGUAUCUUACCAGAAAGGAACGGCUAAAUACGUGCUAG
rnacentral:rRNA from 1 species